UGAUGCGAUUUCGGUCAAUCUUGUGUAUCUUUAGUGGCGGACGGGUGAGUAACGCGUGGGUAACCUGCCUUGCACUGGGGGAUAACACUUAGAAAUAGGUGCUAAUACCGCAUAAGCGCACAGGACUGCAUGGUCCGGUGUGAAAAAUUCCGGUGGUGCAAGAUGGGCCCGCGUCUGAUUAGCUGGUUGGUGGGGUAAAGGCCCACCAAGGCGACGAUCAGUAGCCGGCCUGAGAGGGCGGACGGCCACAUUGGGACUGAGACACGGCCCAAACUCCUACGGGAGGCAGCAGUGGGGGAUAUUGGACAAUGGGGGAAACCCUGAUCCAGCGACGCCGCGUGAGUGAAGAAGUAUUUCGGUAUGUAAAGCUCUAUCAGCAGGGAAGAAAGAAAUGACGGUACCUGAGUAAGAAGCCCCGGCUAACUACGUGCCAGCAGCCGCGGUAAUACGUAGGGGGCAAGCGUUAUCCGGAAUUACUGGGUGUAAAGGGAGCGUAGACGGUUAAGCAAGUCUGGAGUGAAAGGCGGGGGCCCAACCCCCGGACUGCUCUGGAAACUGUGUAACUAGAGUGCAGGAGAGGUAAGCGGAAUUCCUAGUGUAGCGGUGAAAUGCGUAGAUAUUAGGAGGAACACCAGUGGCGAAGGCGGCUUACUGGACUGUAACUGACGUUGAGGCUCGAAAGCGUGGGGAGCAAACAGGAUUAGAUACCCUGGUAGUCCACGCCGUANACGAUGAUUACUAGGUGUCGGUGGGUAUGGACCCAUNGGUGCCGC
rnacentral:rRNA from 1 species